UACAGAGGGGGCAAGCGUUGUUCGGAAUUACUGGGCGUAAAGGGCGCGUAGGCGGCCUGCUAAGUCGAACGUGAAAUCCCCGGGCUCAACCCGGGAACUGCGUCCGAUACUGACAGGCUUGAAUCCGGGAGAGGGAUGUGGAAUUCCAGGUGUAGCGGUGAAAUGCGUAGAUAUCUGGAGGAACACCGGUGGCGAAGGCGGCUCACUGGUCCGGUACUGACGCUGAGGUGCGAAAGCGUGGGGAGCAAACAGG
rnacentral:rRNA from 1 species